rnacentral:rRNA from 1 species
AGGAAUGUAUAGCAAUUGCUACUUACAUCAUAAUGAUGCAAGAUCAACUAUGUUGAAUAAAGUUCUAGGUAGAAUUUUGAUAAUGACAUUAUAUGCCUAUGUGUCUUGACCAAUUACGUGCCAGCAGUCGCGGUAAUACGUAUAAGGCUAGCGUUAUUCAUGUUUAAUCGGUUUAAAGGGUACCUAGACGGCAGAUCAAGCUUAUGAAAAAAAAAGGACUAAUCUGCUAGAGUUACUUGUGAGGGGGCUAUAAAGUACUGCUGGUGUAGGGAUGAAAUACUAUGAUACCUGAUUUCUAAGGAGAAAGAAAAGUUAUGGCACAGGUAUAGGCGAAGGCAUCCCCUUAUGUGAUAACUGACGUUGAA